CUCUACUGAGAUGAAGAAAGAAAAAGAAUACAUGCUCAGCUCCAGGGACACGUAAAGGGACAGAGAUUGGGGGACAGAAGGAAGUGCAUUAAUUCCUUCCACGACCCCUGAAGAGCAGCGGUGGGUCUGAGCAUGCUAUCUCCAUGAAGCAGGCCAGCAGGAUUUCCAAAGAUGAUGUUAAACCCAGCCAUGGUUCUCAUCUCCAGGAAAGCAAUUGCUGUGGUACAAAAGGACAAGGGUUAAAAGAGAACAGUGGGAGCUCUCUUUCCCAACUAACUCCAGGUGUGACGCAGAGGCUUUCAGCACAGGCCAGGGUGCCCGGGACUGAAAACUCCUUCACCAACCCCUCCA
rnacentral:sRNA from 1 species